UACAGAGGUCUCAAGCGUUUGUUCGGAUUCAUUGGACGUAAAGGGUGCGUAGGUGGCGCCGUAAGUCGGGUGUGAAAUUUCGGAGCUUAACUCCGAAACUGCAUUCGAUACUGCGGUGCUUGAGGACUGGAGAGGAGACUGGAAUUCAUGGUGUAGCAGUGAAAUGCGUAGAGAUCAUGAGGAAGACCAGUGGCGAAGGCGGGUCUCUGGACAGUUCCUGACACUGAGGCACGAAGGCCAGGGGAGCAAACGGG
rnacentral:rRNA from 1 species